AUACGAAAGGUGCAAGCGUUGUUCGGAUUUACUGGGCGUAAAGAGAUCGUAGGUGGUUUGUUAAGUCGGAUGUGAAAUCCCGGGGCUCAACCCCGGAACUGCAUUUGAUACUGGCAGACUAGAGUUUGGGAGGGGUAAGCGGAAUUCCGUGUGUAGCAGUGAAAUGCGUAGAUAUACGGAGGAACACCUGAGGCGAAGGCGGCUUACUGGACCAAUACUGACACUGAGGAUCGAAAGCGUGGGUAGCAAACAGGAUUAGAAACCCUAGUAGUCC
rnacentral:rRNA from 1 species